CCUGAACCCCGCCUACAAGACCCUCCUUUCCUUAGCACUUGCUCCAACUCCUUCCACAGCCUGCCUUACUCCAGGUCCUCCAGACAGAACCCAAAUGCUGGCAGUCCCUGCAGCAGGCCAGGCAUGACUGGUGCCAUGGGCUGGGUCUGUGUCCCCAGGCUCACUGAGGGCAUCAGAGUAUCUUGUGGAGAUCCAGUGUUCUACCUUCUAGAAUCAACACCCUCAUUUUCUUUAGGGGAAUCACUUCUAGCCCCACUCUUGGUAAGGGGUGUGUGUGUGUGUGACCCAGAUCUGGCUAACAAGAAACAGCCUUCAGACUUUUGCAAAAACUACUAGAAAAGCAACUUUCCAUCUCUACUAGGAUAGCUAAGCUUCGAGGGGCUAGAGACCACUUUUCCCAACACACAGGAUAAGCUGCUUGAGAACAAAGCCAACAAGAGAGGAGAGCAAAGCUAAGGACUAAGACAGACAAAUGCCCAGCCAAACUAUUCAAAUGCCUGCAUCUAGCCCUGCCCAAUACCAAAGCUACUUCUGUAUUUUUUAUUCUUGUAAUACAAGGGUUUCCUUGUUUUGCUUACACUAGUUAUGAGUGGGUUUCUAUCAUCUGUUCUAAUGCCAGGAUUCUACACUGAUGAUGACAGAAUGUCACAGACACAGUAGUUCUCAUGCAGAGAACAGGUAGAUCCUGGGGGCGUGGUUGGCAAGUGCCCCACGGCAACAAGGGACUCUCUGAGUACUCCCCCCCACAUGGCACAAGAUGCGCCUGGUCAGCGAAAUGGUGUAACUGAAAUGCCUCAGAGCUCAGGAGUGCAUAUGGACGAAUGCUCAGGCUGAUAUGUGAGCCCAGGCUGCAGCCCUCCUCCUGCCUGGCCCCCUCUCCCUCUUGGAGGAAACUCGAGCCACAGAAGAUGAAGCACAGGGAACCAGGUAGCCUGGGCCUGCUCCCUAUGGCUCAGCCUGUCCUACGCUUCUGCCCUGAAUCCCCAAAGCCCAGUGGACAGGUACCUCCUCUGAGGCUCAGGCCUCCUGUGCAACCACUGCCUCACCCAGAGGAGUGAGGAGCCCACCGGUGGGCCCAGCUCCAGUUCUAUCCGCCCCCUUCUGGGGGGUGGGAAGUGUGCAGAGAGACCAACACUGAUCACUGUCUCAUCAACUUGACACCACCACCUGGAAGAAUUCUCCAUCUCUAUGUACAAAUAAGGAGACAGAGGAUGAGAAGCAUGUGGAGACUUGCCCAAAGCCCAAGGUCACAGAACUACAUGCAAGGUGGCAGGAUUGGACCAGGCUUGUCCAUCCCACAGUUUCCCAGUGGCCACGGCUGCUAGUCCUGUGCUGCAGAGGGUGGGGAGAAGGCCAAGGGCCCUGGUGGAGUGUGGAGAAUCUGGGAAGAAUCAGCACGGUGAUUCUCCAAGUGUGAUCUGGAACGUUGAGGGGUUCCUGAGACCCUUUCAGGAGGCCCACAAGGUCAAAAUUAUUUCCAUUAUACUACAAAAUUAUUUGCCUUAUUGU